GACGAACGCUGGCGGCGUGCCUAACACAUGCAAGUCGAGCGAGCGGCGGACGGGUGAGUAAUGUCUGGGAAACUGCCUGAUGGAUGGGGAUAACUCCUGGAAACGGUAGCUAAUACCGCAUACCAUCAGAUGUGCCCAGAUGGGAUUAGCUAGUAGGUGGGGUAACGGCUCACCGAGGCGACGAUCCCUAGCUGGUCUGAGAGGAUGACCAGCCAAACUGGAAAUGAGACACGGGCCAGACUCAUACGGGAGGCAGCAGUGGGGAAUAUUGAACAAUGGGCGCAAGCCUGAGGAAGCCAUGCCGCGUGUGUGAAGAAGGCUUUCGGGUUGUAAAGCACUGUAAGCGGGGAGGCGUUACCCGCAGAAGAAGCAACGGCUAACUCCGUGCCAGCAGCCGCGGUAAUUC
rnacentral:rRNA from 1 species